rnacentral:rRNA from 1 species
CAGUCGCCGCGGGAAUACGUAGGGUGCGAGCGUUAAUCGGAAUUACUGGGCGUAAAGCGUGCGCAGGCGGUUCGUUAAGACAGAUGUGAAAUCCCCGGGCUCAACCUGGGACCUGCAUUUGUGACUGUAUAGCUAGAGUACGGUAGAGGGGGAUGGAAUUCCGCGUGUAGCAGUGAAAUGCGUAGAUAUGCGGAGGAACACCGAUGGCGAAGGCAAUCCCCUGGACCUGUACUGACGCCCAUGCACGAAAGCGUGGGGAGCAAACAGGAUUAGAUACCCCAGUAGUCCCUGUCUCUUAUAC